rnacentral:rRNA from 1 species
UACGGAAGGUCCGGGCGUUAUCCGGAUUUAUUGGGUUUAAAGGGAGCGCAGGCGGAGAUGCAAGCGUGACGUCAAAUUUCGGGGCUCAACCCCGUCUCGCGUCGCGAACUGCGUCCCUUGGUUGCGGGAAGGGGAGGCGGAACUCGUGGUGUAGCGGUGAAAUGCAUAGAUAUCACGAAGAACUCCGAUCGCGAAGGCAGCCUUCCGGCCCGUCAACGACGCUCAUGCUCGAAGGUGCGGGUAUCAAACAGGAUUAGAUACCCUGGUAGUCCCUGAG